CUAGUAAUCGCAGAUCAGAAUGCUGCGGUGAAUGCGUUCCCGGGUCUUGUACACACCGCCCGUCACACCAUGGAAGUUGGGGGUGCCCAAAGUCGGUUAGAAAAUAAACUGCCUAAGGCAAAACCAAUGACUGGGGUGAAGUCGUAACAAGGUACC
rnacentral:rRNA from 1 species